rnacentral:rRNA from 1 species
GAUGAACGCUGGCGGCGUGCUUAACACAUGCAAGUCGAACGGUGAACUCGGAGCUUGCUCUGUGGGAUCAGUGGCGAACGGGUGAGUAACACGUGAGCAACCUGCCCCUGACUCUGUGAUAUGCGCUGGAAACGGCGUCUAAUACUGGAUAUGUGACGUGACCGCAUGGUCUGCUUUUGGAAAGAUUUUUCGGUUGGGGAUGGGCUCGCGGCCUCUCAGCUUGUUGGUGAGGUAAUGGCUCACCAAGGCGUCGACGGGUCGCCGGCCUGAGAGGGUGACCGGCCACACUGGGACUGAGACACGGCCCAGACUCCUACGGGAGGCAGCAGUGGGGAAUAUUGCACAAUGGGCGCAAGCCUGAUGCAGCAACGCCGCGUGAGGGAUGACGGCCUUCGGGUUGUAAACCUCUUUUAGCAGGGAAGAAGCGAAAGUGACGGUACCUGCAGAAAAAGCGCCGGCUAACUACGUG